GAUCCAGUGGCGAAGUGGUUUCGCAUCCGCUUACCUUCAGCGGGAAUUGCAAAGGUUUUCAUGGAAGACGCCUGUUCGAUUCGGGUCUGGGUCA